rnacentral:rRNA from 1 species
AUGAACGCUGGCGGCGUGCCUAAUACAUGCAAGUCGAGCGAACAGACGAGGAGCUUGCUCCUCUGACGUUAGCGGCGGACGGGUGAGUAACACGUGGAUAACCUACCUAUAAGACUGGGAUAACUUCGGGAAACCGGAGCUAAUACCGGAUAAUAUAUUGAACCGCAUGGUUCAAUAGUGAAAGACGGUUUUGCUGUCACUUAUAGAUGGAUCCGCGCCGCAUUAGCUAGUUGGUAAGGUAACGGCUUACCAAGGCAACGAUGCGUAGCCGACCUGAGAGGGUGAUCGGCCACACUGGAACUGAGACACGGUCCAGACUCCUACGGGAGGCAGCAGUAGGGAAUCUUCCGCAAUGGGCGAAAGCCUGACGGAGCAACGCCGCGUGAGUGAUGAAGGUCUUCGGAUCGUAAAACUCUGUUAUUAGGGAAGAACAAAUGUGUAAGUAACUAUGCACGUCUUGACGGUACCUAAUCAGAAAGCCACGGCCAACUACGUG